GCAUCUUGAUUUAAUUUUGAACGAGUGGCGGACGGGUGAGUAACACGUGGGUAACCUGCCCUUAAGUGGGGGAUAACAUUUGGAAACAGAUGCUAAUACCGCAUAAAUCCAAGAACCGCAUGGUUCUUGGCUGAAAGAUGGCGUAAGCUAUCGCUUUUGGAUGGACCCGCGGCGUAUUAGCUAGUUGGUGAGGUAACGGCUCACCAAGGCAAUGAUACGUAGCCGAACUGAGAGGUUGAUCGGCCACAUUGGGACUGAGACACGGCCCAAACUCCUACGGGAGGCAGCAGUAGGGAAUCUUCCACAAUGGACGCAAGUCUGAUGGAGCAACGCCGCGUGAGUGAAGAAGGCUUUCGGGUCGUAAAACUCUGUUGUUGGAGAAGAAUGGUCGGCAGAGUAACUGUUGUCGGCGUGACGGUAUCCAACCAGAAAGCCACGGCUAACUACGUGCCAGCAGCCGCGGUAAUACGUAGGUGGCAAGCGUUAUCCGGAUUUAUUGGGCGUAAAGCGAGCGCAGGCGGUUUUUUAAGUCUGAUGUGAAAGCCCUCGGCUUAACCGAGGAAGUGCAUCGGAAACUGGGAAACUUGAGUGCAGAAGAGGACAGUGGAACUCCAUGUGUAGCGGUGAAAUGCGUAGAUAUAUGGAAGAACACCAGUGGCGAAGGCGGCUGUCUGGUCUGUAACUGACGCUGAGGCUCGAAAGCAUGGGUAGCGAACAGGAUUAGAUACCCUGGUAGUCCAUGCCGUAAACGAUGAAUGCUAGGUGUUGGAGGGUUUCCGCCCUUCAGUGCCGCAGCUAACGCAUUAAGCAUUCCGCCUGGGGAGUACGACCGCAAGGUUGAAACUCAAAGGAAUUGACGGGGGCCCGCACAAGCGGUGGAGCAUGUGGUUUAAUUCGAAGCAACGCGAAGAACCUUACCAGGUCUUGACAUCUUUUGAUCACCUGAGAGAUCAGGUUUCCCCUUCGGGGGCAAAAUGACAGGUGGUGCAUGGUUGUCGUCAGCUCGUGUCGUGAGAUGUUGGGUUAAGUCCCGCAACGAGCGCAACCCUUAUGACUAGUUGCCAGCAUUUAGUUGGGCACUCUAGUAAGACUGCCGGUGACAAACCGGAGGAAGGUGGGGAUGACGUCAAAUCAUCAUGCCCCUUAUGACCUGGGCUACACACGUGCUACAAUGGAUGGUACAACGAGUUGCGAGACCGCGAGGUCAAGCUAAUCUCUUAAAGCCAUUCUCAGUUCGGACUGUAGGCUGCAACUCGCCUACACGAAGUCGGAAUCG
rnacentral:rRNA from 2 species